rnacentral:rRNA from 1 species
UACGGAGGAUGCGAGCGUUAUCCGGAUUUAUUGGGUUUAAAGGGUGCGUAGGCGGAGUGCCAAGUCAGCGGUAAAAAUUCGGGGCUCAACCCCGUCGUGCCGUUGAAACUGGCGCCCUUGAGUGGGCGAGAAGUAUGCGGAAUUCGUGGUGUAGCGGUGAAAUGCAUAGAUAUCACGAAGAACCCCGAUUGCGAAGGCAGCAUACCGGCUCCACACUGACGCUGAGGCACGAAAGCGUGGGUAUCGAACAGG